CCUACGGGAGGCAGCAGUAGGGAAUAUUGGUCAAUGGGUGAGAGCCUGAACCAGCCAUGCCGCGUGCAGGAAGACGGCCUUCUGGGUUGUAAACUGCUUUUGUCAGGGGAUAAAAUUUCCUUGCGAGGAAAAUUGAAGGUACCUGGCGAAUAAGCCACGGCUAACUACGUGCCAGCAGCCGCGGUAAUACGUAGGUGGCAAGCGUUGUCCGGAUUUAUUGGGUUUAAAGGGUGCGUAGGCGGCCUAUUAAGUCAGUGCUGAAAUAUUCCGGCUUAACCGGGAGGGUGGCAUUGAUACUGAUGGGCUAGAGUACAGAUGAGGUAGGCGGAAUUGACGGUGUAGCGGUGAAAUGCUUAGAUAUCGUCAAGAACACCUAUAGCGAAGGCAGCUUACUAGGCUGUAACUGACGCUGAGGCACGAAAGUGUGGGGAUCAAACAGGAUUAGAUACCCUGGUAGUCCACACUGUAAACGUUGAUUACUCGCUGUGUGCGAUAUACAGUACGCGGCCAAGCGAAAGCGCUAAGUAAUCCACCUGGGGAGUACGCCGGCAACGGUGA
rnacentral:rRNA from 1 species